GGCAUUUGAAAGGGAGUUCUGGCAUUUGAAAAGGGAGUUCUGGCAUUUGAAAGGGAGUUCUGGCAUUUGAAAAGGGAGUUCUGGCAUUUGAAAAGGGAGUUCUGGCAUUUGAAAAGGGAGUUCUGGCAUUUGAAAAGGGAGGUCUGGCAUUUGAAAAGGGAGGUCUGGCAUUUGAAAAGGGAGUUCUGGCAUUUGAAAAUGGAGUUCUGGCAUUUGAAAACCAAGUUCUGGCAUUUGAAAACCAAGUUCUGGCAUUUGAAAAGAGAGUUCUGGCAUUUGAAAGGGAGUUCUGGCAUUUGAAAAGGGAGUUCUGGCAUUUGAAAGGGAGUUCUGGCAUUUGAAAAGGGAGUUCUGGCAUUUGAAAAGGGAGUUCUGGCAUUUGAAAA